rfam:Cavia porcellus supercont2_7 genomic scaffold, whole genome shotgun sequence.
GGGGAUUUAGCUUAGCGGUGUAAGUGCCUGCCUUGCGAGCAGGCAGUCAUGAGUUUGAUCCCCA